UAGGGAAUCUUCGGCAAUGGACGGAAGUCUGACCGAGCAACGCCGCGUGAGUGAAGAAGGUUUUCGGAUCGUAAAGCUCUGUUGUUAGAGAAGAACGUUGGUAGGAGUGGAAAAUCUACCAAGUGACGGUAACUAACCAGAAAGGGACGGCUAACUACGUGCCAGCAGCCGCGGUAAUACGUAGGUCCCGAGCGUUGUCCGGAUUUAUUGGGCGUAAAGCGAGCGCAGGCGGUUCUUUAGGUCUGAAGUUAAAGGCAGUGGCUUAACCAUUGUACGCUUUGGAAACUGGAGGACUUGAGUGCAGAAGGGGAGAGUGGAAUUCCAUGUGUAGCGGUGAAAUGCGUAGAUAUAUGGAGGAACACCGGUGGCGAAAGCGGCUCUCUGGUCUGUAACUGACGCUGAGGCUCGAAAGCGUGGGGAGCAAACAGG
rnacentral:rRNA from 1 species